rnacentral:tRNA from 1 species
GGUGGUUCAGUGGUAGAAUGCUUGCCUUGCAUGCAUGUGGUCCUGGGUUCGAUUCCUCAGCACCA